rnacentral:rRNA from 1 species
CCUACGGGAGGCAGCAGUGGGGAAUUUUGGACAAUGGGCGAAAGCCUGAUCCAGCAAUGCCGCGUGAGUGAAGAAGGCCUUCGGGUUGUAAAGCUCUUUUGUCAGGGAAGAAACGGUGAGAGCUAAUAUCUCUUGCUAAUGACGGUACCUGAAGAAUAAGCACCGGCUAACUACGUGCCAGCAGCCGCGGUAAUACGUAGGGUGCAAGCGUUAAUCGGAAUUACUGGGCGUAAAGCGUGCGCAGGCGGUUUUGUAAGUCUGAUGUGAAAUCCCCGGGCUCAACCUGGGAAUUGCAUUGGAGACUGCAAGGCUAGAAUCUGGCAGAGGGGGUAGAAUUCCACGUGUAGCAGUGAAAUGCGUAGAUAUGUGGAGGAACACCGAUGGCGAAGGCAGCCCCCUGGGUCAAGAUUGACGCUCAUGCACGAAAGCGUGGGGAGCAAACAGGAUUAGAUACCCUGGUAGUCCGCGCCCUAAACGAUGUCUACUAGUUGUCGGGUCUUAAUUGACUUGGUAACGCAGCUAACGCGUGAAGUAGACCGCCUGGGGAAGUCGGUCGCAAGNUUAAACNGAAAGAUGACGNGNGAGAGAGACGAGACGACGACGAGGGAGAGG